UACCCGCGGCCCAAGUGGUGGUCGAUAUUAUUGAGCCUAAAACGUCCGUAGCCGGUCUUGUAAAUCCUUGGGUAAAUCGACCAGCUCAACUGUUCGAAGUCCGGGGAGACUGCAAGACUUGGGAUCGGGAGAGGUGAGAGGUACUUCUGGGGUAGGGGUAAAAUCCUGUAAUCCUAGAAGGACCACCGGUGGCGAAGGCGUCUCACUAGAACGAAUCCGACGGUGAGGGACGAAGCCCUGGGGCGCAAACGGGAUUAGAUACCCCGGUAGUCCAGGGUGUAAACGCUGCGGGCUUGGUGUUGGGGGUCCUUUGAGGGCGCCCAGUGCCGGAGAGAAGUUGUUAAGCCUGCUGCUUGGGGAGUACGUCCGCAAGGAUGAAACUUAAAGGAAUUGGCGGGGGAGCACCGCAACGGGAGGAGCGUGCGGUUCAAUUGGAUUCAACGCCGGACAACUCACCAGGAGCGACGGUUACAUGAAGGCCAGGCUGAUGACCUUGCCUGAUUUUCC
rnacentral:rRNA from 1 species